AAUACCGCAUAACCAUAGUUACCGCAUGGUAACUAUGUAAAAGGUGGCUAUGCUACCGCUUUUGGAUGGGCCCGCGGCGCAUUAGCUAGUUGGUGGGGUAAAGGCUUACCAAGGCAAUGAUGCGUAGCCGAACUGAGAGGUUGAUCGGCCACAUUGGGACUGAGACACGGCCCAAACUCCUACGGGAGGCAGCAGUAGGGAAUCUUCCACAAUGGGCGAAAGCCUGAUGGAGCAACGCCGCGUGGGUGAAGAAGGUCUUCGGAUCGUAAAACCCUGUUGUUAGAGAAGAAAGUGCGUGAGAGUAACUGUUCACGUUUCGACGGUAUCUAACCAGAAAGCCACGGCUAACUACGUGCCAGCAGCCGCGGUAAUACGUAGGUGGCAAGCGUUAUCCGGAUUUAUUGGGCGUAAAGGGAACGCAGGCGGUCUUUUAAGUCUGAUGUGAAAGCCUUCGGCUUAACCGGAGUAGUGCAUUGGAAACUGGGAGACUUGAGUGCAGAAGAGGAGAGUGGAACUCCAUGUGUAGCGGUGAAAUGCGUAGAUAUAUGGAAGAACACCAGUGGCGAAAGCGGCUCUCUGGUCUGUAACUGACGCUGAGGUUCGAAAGCGUGGGUAGCAAACAGGAUUAGAUACCCUGGUAGUCCACGCCGUAAACGAUGAAUGCUAAGUGUUGGAGGGUUUCCGCCCUUCAGUGCUGCAGC
rnacentral:rRNA from 1 species